GGUCAGGACGAACGCUGGCGGCGUGCUUAACACAUGCAAGUCGAGCGAUGAAGUCCUCGGGACGGAUUAGCGGCGGACGGGUGAGUAACACGUGGGUAACCUGCCUCAUAGAGGGGAAUAGCCUUCCGAAAGGAAGAUUAAUACCGCAUAAGAUUGUAGUUUCGCAUGAAACAGCAAUUAAAGGAGUAAUUCGCUAUGAGAUGGACCCGCGUCGCAUUAGCUAGUUGGUGAGGUAACGGCUCACCAAGGCGACGAUGCGUAGCCGACCUGAGAGGGUGAUCGGCCACAUUGGGACUGAGACACGGCCCAGACUCCUACGGGAGGCAGCAGUGGGGAAUAUUACACAAUGGGGGGAACCCUGAUGCAGCAACGCCCGCGUGAGUGAUGACGGUCUUCGGAUUGUAAAGCUCUGUCUUCAGGGACGAUAAUGACGGUACCUGAGGAGGAAGCCACGGCUAACUACGUGCCAGCAGCUGC
rnacentral:rRNA from 1 species